rnacentral:rRNA from 1 species
CUAGAUUUCCGGUUGAUCCUGCCGGACCUGACUGCUAUCGGAUUGGUACUAAGCCAUGCGAGUCGUUGUACAAUACAAGGCGGACUGCUCAGUAACACGUAGUUAACUUAACCUAUGGAUGGGGAUAACCUCGGGAAACUGAGAAUCAUACCCAAUGGACCACAGUGCCUGGAAUGGCCUGUGGUUGAAAUGAUUUAUCGCCGUAGGAUAGGACUGCGGCCUAUCAGCUUGUUGGGGUUNGACGGUAAUGGCCCACCAAGGCUAUAACAGGUACGGGCUCUGAGAGGAGGGGCCCGGAGAUGGGUACUGAGACACGGACCCAGGCCCUAUGGGGCGCAGCAGGCGAGAAACCUUUGCAAUGUGCGAAAGCACGACAAGGUUAAUCCGAGUGUCUCCUGCUAAAGGAGUCUUUUGUCAGUUGUAGAAUCACUGGUGAAUAAGGGGUGGGCAAGUUCUGGUGUCAGCCGCCGCGGUAAAACCAGCACCUCGAGUGGUCAGGAGGUUUAUUGGGCCUAAAGCAUCCGUGGCCGGUUGCAUAAGUUUUCGGUUAAAUCUAUGCGCUUAACGUAUAGGCCGCCGAAAAUACUGUGCAGCUAGGGAGUGGGAGAG